rnacentral:lncRNA from 1 species
ACAUAAUAAGUUUGAUAAUUCAUAAACAGAUUUAAAUGGAAAUUUUAGAGAAAAACUAAUUGUUCAAUUCUCAAGAUCACUUGACAGCCUUCCUACCCUUUAUAGAUUCCUUAUUUGAAAACAAAAUGUGAGGAGUGUGACAAUCACUUUGUCUCGGCGAGUUCCUACUAACCUAAGACAUAAUGGGAACCUAAUUUUUAAUUAGUUAUCAUAAUUUCCAUCGAUUUAUUGAUCUAAAC